CAGCCGUAAACUAUGCUCGCUAGGUGUCAGGCAUGGCGCGACCGUGUCUGGUGCCGCAGGGAAGCCGUGAAGCGAGCCACCUGGGAAGUACGGCCGCAAGGCUGAAACUUAAGGAUUGGCGGGGGAGCACAACAACGGGUGGAGCCUGCGGUUUAAUUGGACUCAACGCCGGACAACUCACCGGGGGACGACAGCAAUAUGUAGGCCAGGCUGAAGACCUUGCCUGAAUCGCUGAGAGGUGGUGCAUGGCGUAGACGUCU
rnacentral:rRNA from 1 species